GAUGAACGCUGGCGGCGUGCCUAAUACAUGCAAGUCGAGCGAACUGAUUAGAAGCUUGCUUCUAUGACGUUAGCGGCGGACGGGUGAGUAACACGUGGGCAACCUGCCUGUAAGACUGGGAUAACUUCGGGAAACCGAAGCUAAUACCGGAGAGGAUCUUCUCCUUCAUGGGAGAUGAUUGAAAGAUGGUUCCGGCUAUCACUUACAGAUGGGCCCGCGGUGCAUUAGCUAGUUGGUGAGGUAACGGCUCACCAAGGCAACGAUGCAUAGCCGACCUGAGAAGGUGAUCGGCCACACUGGGACUGAGACACGGCCCAGACUCCUGCGGGAGGCAGCAGUAGGGAAUCUUCCGCAAUGGACGAAAGUCUGACGGAGCAACGCCGCGUGAGUGAUGAAGGCUUUCGGGUCGUAAAACUCUGUUGUUAGGGAAGAACAAGUACGAGAGUAACUGCUCGUACCUUGACGGUACCUAACCAGAAAGCCACGGCUAACUACGUGCCAGCAGCCGCGGUAAAAC
rnacentral:rRNA from 1 species